AUUGAACGCUGGCGGCAUGCUUUACACAUGCAAGUCGAACGGCAGCGCGGGCUUCGGCCUGGCGGCGAGUGGCGAACGGGUGAGUAAUGCAUCGGAACGUGCCCAGUAGUGGGGGAUAGCCCGGCGAAAGCCGGAUUAAUACCGCAUACGACCUGAGGGUGAAAGCGGGGGACCGAAAGGCCUCGCGCUAUUGGAGCGGCCGAUGUCGGAUUAGCUAGUUGGUGGGGUAAAGGCUUACCAAGGCGACGAUCCGUAGCUGGUCUGAGAGGACGACCAGCCACACUGGGACUGAGACACGGUCCAGACUCCUACGGGAGGCAGCAGUGGGGAAUUUUGGACAAUGGGGGCAACCCUGAUCCAGCCAUGCCGCGUGCGGGAAGAAGGCCUUCGGGUUGUAAACCGCUUUUGUUCGGGAAGAAAUCCUCUGGGCUAAUACCCCGGGGGGAUGACGGUACCGGAAGAAUAAGCACCGGCUAACUACGUG
rnacentral:rRNA from 1 species